AGCAGCCGCGGUAAUUCCAGCUCCAAUAGCGUAUAUUAAAGUUGUUGCAGUUAAAAAGCUCGUAGUUGAAUUUCGGGAUCAAUACGUCGGUCGUGCUUCGGUACGUACUGGCGUCAUUGAUUUCUCCCUUCUGACGAACCAUGAUGUCAUUAACUUGGUGUCAUGGGAAAUCAGGACUGUACUUUGAAAAAUUAGAGU
rnacentral:rRNA from 1 species